GUAGUUAGAGGAAAUAGGAGCAAGAUUGCUUAAUUGCUUCAAAUAUUCUGGAAGGCAAGCAUUCCAAGCACAACUUACUCUUUUGGCUGUUGGAGUCAUAGGUCUUCAAUCCUUCAAACACAAGAAGAAUCUUCACUGCUAAAAAUCUGGCAUAAUUUUUUUACACACACAAGAAAACCUGUCAUAGGAGAAGAAGUGACCUCAUGGUCCAGAUGUUUUACUGCCUCUAGUACUGCAAACCCCAGUGGAGAAGGUCCUGGUUGAAUUGAAACACCUAGCAUUGAAAUUGGAUCAUGAUGGACACCUGACUCAUGCCGGGCAAAUUGGAUCUUUUCUUCUGGGAAUUUAGACUUGGAAAUUCAGAGAAAACAAGUCAGUUUGUAUGCAUGCCUUGGAUUGAGAGACAUGAACAUUUUGGACUGGAGGUGCAGGCAUCUUCUCCUACUUGCACAAAGAAAGCAAAUUUUC